UGCGGUUAGUUGCUGCCGGGUUCCCUCCUCCUUCUUCUGCCUCAAAGCUUCUUGAACUCGUAACCUCCAUUAAUGCACUGCAAACAACAAACGCUCCUUUGAAUUCUGCAGAAAAAUCCAUGGAUGCUCUGUAAUUUUCCUAUCUAAUCAGCAUCAGGAAAGUGAUAGAAGCCAGCAGGUAUGAACUGGGUGAGGCAGAGAGUGCUGUGGUCAGUUGGGAGGCAGGGGCAGAGGCGUUUGCUGCAUACUUACGAUGCGCCGAGCGAAAGCUUGAAGACGAAGAUUGCAGAGUUCGGGAAAAUGAGGAGGAGGAGAAGCUCAAAGAAAGAUAAACAAUCGGUGUUCGUCGAGGUUCCGGAGUCCAUGGCCUACCUCGACACAGCCACAAUGCCCCAGAUUCUCACUGCCGUUGGCAUUGCCCUCUUCGCCAAGCUCCUCAUGAUGUAUGACGACUCAAGGUCCCAAGAAUUGAUUGAACGCAAAAUAAAGAAUGCUCCUGCUGAGCAAGGCACUGUUAGGAUGCUCUCCCGAGAGGAAUGGGAAGAAAUUCGUGAAGUAAGACCGAGGACUCCAUUUGAAUCCAAGCUUGCUCGUCCAAAUGCACGCUUAAGAACUGGAGAACCAUUACGCAUGGAGGAUGUGAAGGAUUGGACGAUAGAUGUGCUGACAGAUGCAUUUGCUCGGGUUGAAGAAAGCGUUAGACACACUUCCAAGUGACUUUUUCCCCAUCUUUUGACUAUGUAACAUAGUGAAUAUCGAAUUUUUUUAAUCAGUCAUACACAAAGCCUACUUUGGACCAAUUCUAGAAAGUAUACUUCAAAGAACCAUCACAAAGCAAUGGUUGCAAAGGCAGGUGGGAAAGGAUGCAUUCUGCUUGCACGUUCCAUCUGAUGGUAGCCAGAGCUUGCAGAGGCAAGUGUGUACGAUUUUGUUCAAUUUGUUGGGCCUACUUGCUCUGUUAUGUUUGCUUUCCAAAGGCAAACUCUGAUAUCUUAUCUCAUUUUCCUAUCUUCACAGUAAAAAGUAAAACCUUUGGUACCA